rnacentral:rRNA from 1 species
UGGCCGCAGUAAUUUGACUGUGCAAAGGUAGCAUAAUCAAUAGUUUUUUAAUUGAAAGCUUGUAUGAAAGGUUGGACGAAAUAAUAUCUGUCUUUAUUUAAUAUUUAUUAAAAUUUAAUUUUUAAGUUAAAAAGCUUAAAUUUUUAUAAAAGACGAGAAGACCCUAUAGAGCUUUAUAAGUUUUUAUUUAUAAAUAUUUUAGAUUUAUUUAUUUUAUAUAUCAAAAUUUAUUUUAUUGGGGUAAUAGAAAGAUUUAAUUAAUUCUUUUUUUUUACAUUAUUUUUUUAUAUUUUUAAUGAUCCAUUAUUAAUGAUUAUAAGAUUAAGUUACCUUAGGGAUAACAGCGUAAUUUUUUUAGAGAGUUCAUAUUGAUAAAAAAGUUUGCGACCUCGAUGUUGGAUUAAAGAUUAAUUUAGGUGCAAAAGUUUAAAUUUUUGGUCUGUUCGACCAUUAAAUCUUUACAUGAUCUGAGUUCAGACCGGUUUAAGCCAGGUCGGUUUCUAUCUUUAUUAUAUUAAAAUAUUUUAGUACGAAAGGACCAAAUAUUAAUUAAAAUAAUUUAUUUUUUGAAUAAUAAU